CCGUAGCCCAAGAGAUCGGGAUAACACCUGGAAACAGAUGCUAAUACCGGAUAACAACAGAUGAUGCCUAUCGACUGUUUAAAAGAUGGUUCUGCUAUCACUCUUGGAUGGACCUGCGGUGCAUUAGCUAGUUGGUAGGGUAACGGCCUACCAAGGCGAUGAUGCAUAGCCGAGUUGAGAGACUGAUCGGCCACAUUGGGACUGAGACACGGCCCAAACUCCUACGGGAGGCAGCAGGC
rnacentral:rRNA from 1 species